rnacentral:tRNA from 1 species
CCCGCCAUAGUUUAUUCAAAACAUCGACCUGCAAAAUCGAGAAAGGAAAUGUUUUCCUGGUGUGU